rnacentral:rRNA from 1 species
UGCCUUACACAUGCAAGUCGAAACGGCAGCACGGGAGCAAUCCUGGUGGCGAGUGGCGAACGGGUGAGUAAUGUAUCGGAACGUACGUUCAGUGGGGAGUAACGUAAGCGAAAGUUACGCUAAUACCGCAUAUUCUGUGUGCAGGAAAGCAGGGGAUCGCAAGACCUUGCGCUGAUUGAGCGGCCGAUAUCAGAUUAGCUAGUUGGUGAGGUAAAGGCUCACCAAGGCGACGAUCUGUAGCGGGGUCUGAGAGGAUGAUCCGCCACACUGGAACUGAGACACGGUCCAGACUCCUACGGGAGGCAGCAGUGGAGAAUUUUGGACAAUGGGGGCAACCCUGAUCCAGCCAUGCCGCGUGAGUGAAGAAGGCCUUCGGGUUGUAAAGCUCUUUCGGCCGGGAAGAAAUCGCAUGGGUUAAUACCCUGUGCGGAUGACGGUACCGGCAUAAGAAGCACCGGCUAACUACGUG